rnacentral:lncRNA from 10 species
CAGUGAGCCGAGAUUGCUCCACUGCACUCCAGUCUGGAUGACAGAGAGAGACUCCAUGUCAAAAUAAAUAAAUAAAUAAAUAAAUAAAUAAAUAAAUAAAUAAAUAAAAUAGUAGCUCUGGUUGAGGGCAGUGGCUAAUGCCUGUAAUCCCAGCACUUUGAGAGGCCAAGACAGGAGCAUCGCUUGAGCCCAGGAGUUCAAGACCAGUUUGGGCAACAUAGGGAGACCCCAUCUCUACAAAAAUAAAAAAAUUAGCCAAGUGUAGUGGCACAUGUCCAUGGUCCCAACUCCUUGGGAGGUGGGAGGAUCACUUGGGCCUGGGAGGUCGAGGCUGUGGUGUGUCAUGAUUGCAUCACUGUAUUCCAGCCUGGGCAACAGAGUGAGACCCUGUCUCAAAAAAUAAAAUAAAAUAGUAACUCCCAGUGUCAUGUUUUUCUAUUUUAUUCUUCUUCCUAACACUUAUUAAUAACUGCAUUAGACAGAAAACAAACAGGUAAACAAAUGAGCUACAUGAUGACAAAGUGAUCAAAGUUAUGAAGAAAAUAAAGCAAGGCUUAAAGGAGGGGGCUACUUUGGAUGGGAGGUCAAAAAGGGCCUCUUUGAGAAGGUGACUUCUAAGAUGAAUUUUAGG